AGCAGCCGCGGUAAUUCCAGCUCCAAUAGCGUAUAUUAAAGUUGUUGCAGUUAAAAAGCUCGUAGUUGAACUUCGGGGUUCACCCAUUGGUCAGGCUUAACUGUCUGCACUGGUGAGAUGAAUCUCUACCUUCUGAGGAACUUUCAUGCCAUUUAUUUGGUGUGAUGGGAAAUCGGGACUGUUACUUUGAAAAAAUUAGAGUGUUUAAAGCAGGCUAACGUCUAGAAUACAUUAGCAUGGAAUAAUGAAAUAGGACGGACUGGUUCUAUUUUGUUGGUUUCUAGGAUCACCGUAAUGAUUAAUAGGGAUAGUUGGGGGCAUUAGUAUUCAAUUGUCAGAGGUGAAAUUCUUGGAUUUAUUGAAGACUAACUACUGCGAAAGCAUUUGCCAAGGAUUGUUUUCAAUUAUCAAGAACGUAAAGUUAGGGGAUCGAAGACGAUCAGAUACCGUCGUACGUACUUAACGAUAAACUAUGCCGACUAGGGAUCGGACGGUAGUUAAUUUUAUAAUGACGCGUUCGGCUAACCGG
rnacentral:rRNA from 1 species